rnacentral:misc_RNA from 1 species
CAAACAAAAAGAAUCUAUCUCAGAUUGAAUAUGAAAAACCAUCGUCAGGUAAUGUGAUGGUUGUAUUGCUGCUGCUGCUGCUGCUGCUGCUGCUGCUGCUGCUGCUGCUGCUGCUAUAUUUCCCUGAUCAGUUUUUGCUAUUAUAAUGUUGUACGGGGCAACAACAAUUCAAAUAGCAACUAUUAAUUUCUACUACUACAACAAAGAAAGAAAAUUUACAUGUAUGUAGUAGAGAAAAGAAUGUGGUGCGCAUUAUUAAUUU